rnacentral:rRNA from 1 species
AGCGGCGAACGGGUGAGUAAUGCUUCGGAAUCUGCCCAAUGGUGGGGAAUAACCAGCCGAAAGGUUGGCUAAUACCGCAUACGUCCUACGGGAGAAAGCAGGGGAUCGCAAGACCUUGCGCCGAUGGAUGAGCCGAAGUCGGAUUAGCUAGUUGGUAGGGUAACGGCCUACCAAGGCGACAAUCCGUAGCUGGUCUGAGAGGACGACCAGCCACACUGGGACUGAGACACGGCCCAGACUCCUACGGGAGGCAGCAGUGGGGAAUAUUGGACAAUGGGGGCAACCCUGAUCCAGCGACGCCGCGUGUGUGAAGAAGGCCUGCGGGUUGUAAAGCACUUUUAGUGGGGAUGAAAAGCCUAGAGCUAACACCUCUGGGUCUUGACCUAACCCACAGAAAAAGCACCGGCUAACUCUGUGCCAGCAGCCGCGGUAAUACAGAGGGUGCAAGCGUUAAUCGGAAUUACUGGGCGUAAAGCGUGCGUAGACGGUUGCGUAAGUCAGAUGUGAAAGCCCCGGGCUCAAC